CAAGUUGUAAAUUUUUAACCAAUUAAGGGAACUAACUAGUUGCCUUAGUCAAGAUUGAUUGGUAUCACAAAUUCAAUUAAACUUGAUUUCUCUUUCAUUGGUGAAAGAUGAAUGAAGCUGCAUCUCAGAUUGUAAUCCUUGAGUGACAUCAACCUGGGGUCAGAAUUUGCUUGAAUUAGGAGGAAGACCAGGUUGAACCUUCUCAGAGUCAAUGCCAAUUUUGUGGUGGGACAUUGUUGUUUUCAGCUUUUAAAUACUUGCCAGCUGCAUUAUCAUUGAAAGUCCCUCCCACUGAAUUCUUAUGCCCACAGAAAGUGGAGGGCAAAGAUUGAAAUCUCCAAGGCCGUUGACAUCUCCAUCACCCCCAACAGUGCAGUGUGUCAGCAAUGCAGCAAGCAACACCAACAUUAUGGUGAUGUUGCCCCACAAAUCCCUGUGAUCCAAACGUCACAAGAGAAAAGAAGAGAAGUGUGGAAGCUCACCUUAUCUGAUCACACUCUCUCUCAAGUAUCAAAUCGAAUGAAUGGAUGCUUCUCUCCACAUACCUAGCCCCACUCUUGCAAUUUGCCUCCAUACUUGGGAUUUAUCUAUUGAGUGUUUGGAUUCCUUUGGGAUUCUCCAUUCCAUUCCCACGUUCUAAUUCAUGCAAGACAACGAUUUGGGAGAUUCCGAGCUUCCCAAAUGGAGCGAUUCACAGCGCUCCAGCAAAAAGAAAGGCCGAGAUCGAGAAAACUGGACGAAAUUCUGAAGGGACAAGUUGUCUCUUAAAAGGAGUGAGUGAGUGAGAA
rnacentral:lncRNA from 1 species